UUAAGUGAAGGAAAGGGGAAUUUUAGGAAAAAGAUCUUUUUUAGAUCUGUUUCGCCUUACUCUUUACUAUCGUCAUAAUUUUUUUGCUAUCACUCUAGAUCGUAUAUAAAAUAGUUGUAUAUUUAGAUUCCCCUAUUAUAUUCCCUAAGUUAAGUAAUUCUCUUGAGCCACCCACCAUAUUUAUACAUUGCUUUGGGCUAAGCUAAAUAAGACUAUUUCAAU
rnacentral:lncRNA from 1 species